UACGUAGGGGGCAAGCGUUAUCCGGAUUUACUGGGUGUAAAGGGAGCGUAGGCGGCAGGGCAAGCCUGAUGUGAAAGCCCGGGGCUCAACCCCGGGACUGCAUUGGGAACUGCCCCGCUCGAGUGCCGGAGGGGCAGGCGGAAUUCGUGGUGUAGCGGUGAAAUGCUUAGAUAUCGCGCAGAACCCCGAUUGCGAAGGCAGCGUACCGGCUCCACACUGACGCUGAGGCACGAAAGCGUGGGUAUCGAACAGG
rnacentral:rRNA from 1 species